rnacentral:rRNA from 1 species
CCUACGGGUGGCAGCAGUGGGGAAUAUUGCACAAUGGGGGAAACCCUGAUGCAGCGACGCCGCGUGAAGGAAGAAGUAUUUCGGUAUGUAAACUUCUAUCAGCAGGGAAGAAAAUGACGGUACCUGACUAAGAAGCCCCGGCUAACUACGUGACAGCAGCCGCGGUAAUAGGUAGGGGGCAAGCGUUAUCCGGAUUUACUGGGUGUAAAGGGAGCGUCGGCGGUAAUGCAGGUCAGAGGUGAAAGCCCGGGGCUCAACUCCGGUACGGCUUUUGAAACUGUGUAGCUAGAUUGCAGGAGAGGUAAGUGGAAUUCCUAGUGUAGCGGUGAAAUGCGUAGAUAUUAGGAGGAACACCAGUGGCGAAGGCGGGUUACUGGACUGUAAAUGACGCUGAGGCGCGAAAGCGUGGGGAGCAAACAGGAUUAGAUACCCUAGUAGUC